AUUGAACGCUGGCGGCAUGCCUUACACAUGCAAGUCGAACGGCAGCACGGGAGCAAUCCUGGUGGCGAGUGGCGAACGGGUGAGUAAAGUAUCGGAACGUGCCCAGUCGUGGGGGAUAACGUAGCGAAAGUUACGCUAAUACCGCAUACGAUCUAUGGAUGAAAGCGGGGGAUCGCAAGACCUCGCGCGAUGGGAGCGGCCGAUAUCAGAUGAGGUAGUUGGUGGGGUAAAGGCUCACCAAGCCGACGAUCUGUAGCUGGUCUGAGAGGACGACCAGCCGCACUGGGACUGAGACACGGCCCAGACUCCUACGGGAGGCAGCAGUGGGGAAUUUUGGACAAUGGGCGAAAGCCUGAUCCAGCCAUGCCGCGUGCAGGAUGAAGGCCUUCGGGUUGUAAACUGCUUUUGUACGGAACGAAAAGGUUUGGCCUAAUAAGCUGAGCUCAUGACGGUACCGUAAGAAUAAGCACCGGCUAACUACGUGCCAGCCGCCGCCGUAA
rnacentral:rRNA from 1 species